rnacentral:lncRNA from 1 species
CGCCCCUCGUAUAAAUAUCUUACUCAUUAUUAAUAAAAUAAUCAACAAUCUCUUCUAUAAAUUGCUUUAAAUUUAAACCAAAUAACUUAAUUUUAAAGUUUAUUUUAUCCCAAGGGAAUUCAAUUUCCAUUAAUUAAUUAAUUCAAUCUUUGACUAAAAUAAAAGUCCUCAUUUUAAAGUUCUAGCUUUUAUCUUUUGUCUAAAAUUACUUUCUCUUUGUGUUUUCA